rnacentral:rRNA from 1 species
UACGAAGGGGGCUAGCGUUGCUCGGAAUUACUGGGCGUAAAGGGCGCGUAGGCGGCACUGUUAGUCAGGCGUGAAAUUCCUGGGCUCAACCUGGGGACUGCGCUUGAUACGGCAGAGCUUGAGGAUGGAAGAGGGUCGCGGAAUUCCCAGUGUAGAGGUGAAAUUCGUAGAUAUUGGGAAGAACACCGGUGGCGAAGGCGGCGCCUGGUCCUUACUGACGCUGAGGCGCGACAGCGUGGGGAGCAAACAGG